rnacentral:rRNA from 1 species
AGCGAACGUUAGCGGCGGGCUUAACACAUGCAAGUCGAGCGAGAGAGUGACUUCGGUCAUGAGUAAAGCGGCAGACGGGUGAGGAACACGUAGGUAAUUUUCCGUUUAGUGGGGGACAACGGUCCGAAAGGACCGCUAAUACCGCAUACGUUCCUUGGGGCUUUGGCCCUGGGGAGGAAAGCUGGGCAACUGGCGCUAAAAUGAGAAGCCUGCGUCGCAUCAGCUAGUUGGUGGGGUAAUGGCCUACCAAGGCGAAGACGCGUAGCUGGUCUGAGAGGAUGAUCAGCCACACUGG